rnacentral:rRNA from 1 species
CCAAUAGCGUAUAUUAAAGUUGUUGCAGUUAAAAAGCUCGUAGUUGAACUUCAGGCCUGUCCAGAUGGUCCGCCUUAAUUGGUGUGUACUGUCCUUGGGUGGGUCCUACCUUCUGGCGAAGCGGCAUGGCCUUAAUUGGUUGUGUCGGGGAAGCAGGACUUUUACUGUGAAAAAAUUAGAGUGUUCAAAGCAGGCAUUAUAUGCUCGAAUACAUUAGCAUGGAAUAAUGGAAUAGGACGAUGGUUCUAUUUUGUUGGUUCUAGGACCGUUGUAAUGAUUAAUAGGGAUAGUUGGGGGCAUUAGUAUUCAAUUGUCAGAGGUGAAAUUCUUGGAUUUAUUGAAGACUAACUACUGCGAAAGCAUUUGCCAAGGAUGUUUUCAUUAAUCAAGAACGAAAGUUAGGGGAUCGAAGACGAUCAGAUACCGUCGUAGUCUUAACCAUAAACUAUGCCGACUAGGAAUCGGGCGAUGUUGACAAAAUGACUCGCUCGGCACCUCAUG